UGAUGUCAGAGCAGUAACAAUAUUAUUUGGCUCUGAAUCAGUCAGAGCUUUCAAGCCGCAUUACUGCCAGAGCUUUUUUGUGUCUAUGUGAAGAGUUUAUCGGUCCAUCUUCAGUUCCUCCUUCCCUCCACCGCAGAGAGGAGCUGUCAGCGGGUUUGGCGCAGAUCUUAUGUUGCUGGUUGCUCUGGGCUGCGGUCCAAACUGAUGCCGGUAGACAAAAGCACACAUCUCUGGUUCAGGCCAGAUUUCGUGGAAGGCCACAGUUUCCUUUGGCCAGGACACUGUACACUCACCAGGGAGGGACGGGCUCAUUCCAGAAGGGAGAGAAGCGCCGCCUUGGCCUGCUUUAUCUGAUCAUCUUGUAUCCAAUAGAGCUCUUCCGUUUAGUCAUGCUUCAUUCUGGAAUGUAUUUCACUCCCGUAGUUGACUGCAAUGUGUGCAAUCCCUCUGAAUAGCAGGAGAUUCCUCCGAAGCCCCUCCUGUGUACCAUGUGCAAUGUUGUCUGAUAGUCGCUAAGUGGCAGAACACAAACAGCAGCUCAGCUCCGGAGAUGCGGCUAAACAACUGAACCAACUCUUACACCCAGGAAGAGAAGAGAAAGCAUCUGGUAGAGGAAUGUCACUGUCUGCUGUUUGGACUGUACACUGACUGAGUCAUGCAUCAGAAGCAGACCAGGCUGCGGCGUAAACAUGCAGAAGUUUGACAUUCUGCGUAGUUUCAGGGAAAACUUGCUCCACGAGUUUUCAAACUGGAGUGCAAUGAAGGUGUCCAGUGAGGCCUCUGGCCGGACUGAUGUCAAAGUGUCACUGGACUGUUUCUGACUCUUUAGUUUAAAUACGAUUCCUCAAUGCCUUCUAUACUACAAGUAUCUGAAACCAGACAUUUUCAUACACUGUAUAAAAAGAGACAUAACCUUUUAUUCUCACUGUCUUGUCAUUAAAUUCAACUAAAAGUUAUUCCAUAAUUUG